GCAUUGGUGGGUCAGAGGUAGAAUUCUCUUCUUCCAUAUGGGAGACUAGGGUUCGAUUCCCAGCCAAUGUA
rnacentral:tRNA from 1 species